CUACAUUGACCGAAAUCAGCACUUCAUCGGUUCGAACUGUGACGUCAUCGGAACCAGUUACAACUGCGACAAACUUUACUACCCCAGAUUUCAUUGUAACCGAAGUAGAUGGACACCUAACUUCAAUUCUGCCAGCAAAAGUUAGCCAACAUCAGAUGCUGAACCCAGGUGUGACAACUGUUUCGUGACUAGAUUCGAAUCCGGACACAUCGGAUGCGAUGUCUACAAGAACAACGCAUACUACGAUUUUACUUUACGUAGUUUAUUUAAUCAUUUAAAAAUCCGACUAGAACCAGUUAG